ACGUGAAUGAAGGUUCAGAAUCUUCACCUCCCUUCUUACGAGCGGCGACGGCGGCGGUGCGAAUGGCUUCCUCUUCUCCGAUCCUCACUCCUCACGACAGCGGCGCCCUCAAUAAACUCCCUUCUCCGGUCUAGUUUUCUCGAAAUCUCUCCGAUUCACUUCUCUCGCGGCUCAAUAUUUCGCUCUCGAGUCUCUGUUUUUCGUUUCGGAUUGCGUGGAUUGUGAUGUUAUCCUGUUGAUGAUGAAGACUGAAAUUGCGGUUUGGCGGAGGUGAUUGAGACGCGUGAAGUGUUGAAGACGAACGAUGAUGAACGGAGUUGAUGUGGUUGUUGUUAUGAAGCGUGAAGAGAGGAAUGGCGACUCAAUCGUGAGACGAUGAUGAAUGUAGCGCUAUUGCGACAUUCUCGAAGAUGCGGAAUCGCAAAAUCAUGUGAUUAUAGAGUGCUGCGGUUUGAUGACAUCCACGAUGAGAAAUUCAAGGACGAAUGAUGCGCGAUGAACCUUUCCACAAAUCAAUGAACACUGAGACUCGAUGAUUGAAGAUUUUUCUGUGGAUAGAGAUGCAGAAUUGUGAUGAGUUUCUCGUGUAACUGCUUCUGUUAGGAUCUUUUCUUGGUUUUCAAGGAUGAAGAAUGGAGAGAGGGAAGAUCGGUGAUGAUUAUGAAGAGAUGGUGAAGUGAUGGAGGUUGAAUGAUGGUGGUGGUUAUGGAGCGUGAUGAAUGGAAGUGAAGGGAGAGUGAAGAUGAUGAAUUGAAGAAUGAUGAAGAUAGGAGCAGAAUCGAGGAAAAAAAAUGGAGAGGAAGCGUGAAUGAAUCCAGGUUCUGACUUUAUAGCUAUGAAGGUUUCACCAUUGGUGUGGUAACUUAUGUUUAUCUCAAGGAGACUUGGAGAGUUGACACCAAAGAAAUUACUUGAAGAUGGGUGCCCUAUGAAGCCUGAAGAACCGGUUGGAAACUAUCGGUCAACUACUGCCCAAGGUCUAGUCAACAGCUCCAAAGUCAAUGGUCAACAGUUGACCAAAAGUCAACUAUAGCACUUUAUCUUCCUUUUUUGUAAUCCUUGUUGUAAAGCU